rnacentral:rRNA from 1 species
GGCCAGACUCCUACGGGAGGCAGCAGUGAGGAAUAUUGGUCAAUGGGCGCGAGCCUGAACCAGCCAAGUAGCGUGAAGGAUGACUGCCCUACGGGUUGUAAACUUCUUUUAUAAAGGAAUAAAGUGAGGCACGUGUGCCUUUUUGUAUGUACUUUAUGAAUAAGGAUCGGCUAACUCCGUGCCAGCAGCCGCGGUAAUACGGGGGAUGCGAGCGUUAUCCGGAUUUAUUGGGUUUAAAGGGCGCGUAGGCGGCGCUUCAGGUCAGCGGUGAAAUACCGGGGCUCAACCCCGGGGCUGCCGUUGAAACCGGAGCGCUAGAAUUCCGAUGCCGUCGGAGGAAUGUGUGGUGUAGCGGUGAAAUGCAUAGAUAUCACACAGAACACCGAUUGCGAAGGCAGCAUACCGGCGCUCAACUGACGCUCAUGCACGAAAGCGUGGGUAUCGAACAGGAUUAGAUACCCCAGUAC